rnacentral:rRNA from 1 species
GACGAACGCUGGCGGCGUGCCUAAUACAUGCAAGUCGAACGAACAGAUGGGAGCUUGCUCCCUGAUGUUAGUGGCGGACGGGUGAGUAACACGUGGGUAACCUGCCUGUAAGAUUGGGAUAACUUCGGGAAACCGAAGCUAAUACCGGAUAAUAUAUGAAACCGCAUGGUUUCAUAUUGAAAGAUGGCUUUUGCUAUCACUUACAGAUGGACCCGCGGCGCAUAAGCUAGUUGGUGAGGUAACGGCUCACCAAGGCAACGAUGCGUAGCCGACCUGAGAGGGUGAUCGGCCACACUGGGACUGAGACACGGCCCAGACUCCUACGGGGGGCAGCAGUAGGGAAUCUUCCGCAAUGGACGAAAGUCUGACGGAGCAACGCCGCGUGAGCGAAGAAGGCCUUCGGGUCGUAAAGCUCUGUUGUUAGGGAAGAACAAGUACCGUUCGAAUAGGGCGGUACCUUGACGGUACCUGACGAGAAAGCCACGGCUAACUACGUGCCAGCAGCCGCAGUAACAC